AGAAUCAACGCUGGCGGCGUGCCUAACACAUGCAAGUCGCACGAGAAAGUGGAGCAAUCCAUGAGUACAGUGGCGCACGGGUGAGUAACACGUGAAUCAUCUACCUCCGAGUGGGGAAUAACUGAGAGAAAUCUUAGCUAAUACCGCAUAACACUUACGAGUCAAAGCAGCAAUGCGCUUGGAGAGGAGUUCGCGGCAGAUUAGUUAGUUGGCGGGGUAAUGGCCCACCAAGACGAUGAUCUGUAUCCGGCCUGAGAGGGCGCACGGACACACUGGAACUGAAACACGGUCCAGACUCCUACGGGAGGCAGCAGUGGGGAAUUUUGCGCAAUGGGGGAAACCCUGACGCAGCAACGCCGCGUGGAGGAUGAAAUCCCUUGGGAUGUAAACUCCUUUCGAUAGGGAAGAUAAUGACGGUACCUAUAGAAGAAGCCCCGGCUAACUUCGCGCCAGCAGCCGCGGU
rnacentral:rRNA from 1 species